rnacentral:rRNA from 1 species
UACGGGGGGAGCAAGCGUUGUUCGGAUUUACUGGGCGUAAAGAGCGCGCAGGCGGUCGUUCAAGUCGCGUGUGAAAGCCCCCCGGCUCAACUGGGGAGGGUCACGCGAUACUGAUCGACUCGAAGGCAGGAGAGGGUAGUGGAAUUCCCGGUGUAGUGGUGAAAUGCGUAGAUAUCGGGAGGAACACCAGUGGCGAAGGCGACUACCUGGCCUGUUCUUGACGCUGAGGCGCGAAAGCUAGGGGAGCAAACGGG